rnacentral:rRNA from 1 species
AUUGAACGCUGGCGGCAUGCCUAACACAUGCAAGUCGAACGGGGCAGCAAUGUGCUGACGAGUGGCGAACGGGCGAGUAAUGCAUCGGAACGUGCCCAGUCGUGGGGGAUAACGCAGCGAAAGCUGUGCUAAUACCGCAUACGAUCUAUGGAUGAAAGCGGGGGACCGUAAGGCCUCGCGCGAUUGGAGCGGCCGAUGUCAGAUUAGGUAGUUGGUGGGGUAAAGGCCUACCAAGCCGACGAUCUGUAGCUGGUUUGAGAGGACGACCAGCCACACGGGGACUGAGACACGGCCCAGACUCCUACGGGGGGCAGCAGUGGGGAAUUUUGGACAAUGGGCGCAAGCCUGAUCCAGCAAUGCCGCGUGCAGGAAGAAGGCCUUCGGGUUGUAAACUGCUUUUGUACGGAACGAAACGGUCCUGGUUAAUACCCGGGGCUAAUGACGGUACCGUAAGAAUAAGCACCGGCUAACUACGUGCCAGCAGCCGCCGUAACAC